AUUGUUUUUGUUGUCUUCUGAUGUAUUAGAUUUCUGCCUGGGUGAAAAAAUCAUCAUUGUCGUUAUCCAGGCUGAUUGGUGAUGGAGAUGCUGCUGAGCUUCUAACAUCAUUUAAUUCAUUAAUUAAUUGGUCAUAUUCUUCUUCGGAUGUACAUGCAGCCAUUUGAGACAUGAUCUGCUGUUUUCGAGCUAAGAAAGUUUCUUGUCUGGUGAUGAUAGAAAUACUGGGUUUUUUGCAAAAUUGUGGGUGGUCUUGAAAGAAUUGUUCAAUGGCUUUAGUGUUACAGCCAUGUAAAUUGGUUUUAUUCCACCAUUUUGUUUUGAAUCUUCUGACUAUAGUGGGAACUUGAAAAAUACCUAU
rnacentral:lncRNA from 1 species